UCCCCGGUAGCUCAAUUGGUAGAGCGGCGGGCUGUUAACCCGUAGGUUGUGGGUUCGAGACCCACCCGGGGAGCCA
rnacentral:tRNA from 1 species